rnacentral:rRNA from 1 species
GAUGAACGCUAGCGGCAGGCCUAAUACAUGCAAGUCGAGGGGCAGCAAGCUGUAGCAAUACAGUGUUGGCGACCGGCAAACGGGUGCGUAACACGUACAUAACCUUCCUUUAACUGGGGCAUAACUUAUAGAAAUGUUUGCUAAUUCCCCAUAGUAUCAAUUUGCGGCAUCGCGAGUUGAUUAAAGUUUUUCGGUUAAAGAUGGAUGUGCGUCUGAUUAUGAUAGUUGGUGAGGUAACUGCUCACCAAGCCGACGAUCAGUAACUGGUGUGAGAGCACGACCAGUCACACGGGCACUGAGACACGGGCCCGACUCCUACGGGAGGCAGCAGUAAGGAAUAUUAUGCAAUGGACGAAAGUCUGACAUAGCCAUGCCGCGUGCAGGAUGAAGGCGCUCUGCGUUGUAAACUGCUUUUAUUCGGGAAGAAAUCUCCGUUUCUACGGAAGUUGACGGUACCGGAUGAAUGAGCACCGGCUAACUCCGUGCCAGCCGCCGCCGUAACAC